CCUCAUAGAUUCCUUAGUACGGCGAGUGACCGGGAUGAGCUCAAAUUUAAAAUCUGGCGUCUUUCAGGCGUCCGAGUUGUAAUCUAUAGAGGCGUUUUCCGCGCCGGACCGCGUCCAAGUCCCUUGGAAUAGGGUAUCAAAGAGGGUGACAAUCCCGUACUUGACGCGACGACCGGUGCUCUGUGAUACGUUCUCAACGAGUCGAGUUGUUUGGGAAUGCAGCUCUAAACGGGUGGUAAAUUCCAUCUAAGGCUAAAUAUUGGCGAGAGACCGAUAGCGAACAAGUACCGUGAGGGAAAGAUGAAAAGCACUUUGGAAAGAGAGUUAAACAGCACGUGAAAUUGUUAAAAGGGAAACGAUUGAAGUCAGUCGUGUGGGAGGUAUUCAGCCGUCUCUGGCGGUGUAUUUGCCUCUCACGGGUCAACAUCAGUUUGAUCCGGUAGAAAAAGGCGGGAGGAAGGUGGCACCCUCGGGUGUGUUAUAGCCUCCUGUCACAUGUGCCGGACCAGACUGAGGAACGCAGCUCGCAGCAAUGCCGGGGUUCGCCCACGUACGAGCUUAGGAUGUUGACAUAAUGGCUUUAAACGACCGAAAAUUGAAACACGGACCCAUA
rnacentral:rRNA from 1 species